rnacentral:rRNA from 1 species
CCUACGGGAGGCAGCAGUGGGGAAUAUUGGGCAAUGGGCGCAAGCCUGACCCAGCAACGCCGCGUGAAGGAAGAAGGCUUUCGGGUUGUAAACUUCUUUUGACAGGGAAGAGUAGAAGACGGUACCUGUCGAAUAAGCCACGGCUAACUACGUGCCAGCAGCCGCGGUAAUACGUAGGUGGCAAGCGUUGUCCGGAUUUACUGGGUGGAAAGGGCGUGUAGCCGGGUUGACAAGUCAGAUGUGAAAUCCUGCGGCUUAACCGCAGAACUGCAGUUGAAACUGUUGAUCUUGAGGACUGGAGAGGCAGACGGAAGUCCUAGGGUAGCGGUGAAAUGCGGAGAGAUUAGGAGGAACACCAGGGGCGAAGGCGGUCUUGUGGACAGCAACUGACGGGGAGGCGCGAAAGCGGUGGGAGCAAACAGGAUUAGAUACCCCGGUAGUC